ACAGCUUUAACCAAUAAUAAAUUGGAGGACUUACAUGUUUUUUUCUGAACAAAUUAAUGAAUUCUGAGAAGAAAGAAGAGAAGAAACAUAGCUUGCUAACAUCUAAAUUUGUCAUUUUUUAUCCAGUUGCUACAAUAAGGGAAAAAUGUUCUAAAAAUGGUAGGAUAUGGAUCGAUAUCUUGGGUUGCAGAUGUCCCUAAAUUGGCGGGGAUGGCAGAAGAAAACUUUGACAGAUUCAGAAACAAGAAAAAAAAUAUCAGAUCGGGAGAUUGUUGUGCAGAGGAGUUGGGAAGAUCUAUUGGGUAUUAUGGUUCUCUUUCUACAAAAUUUUCAGCGGGAUAAACGUGCGUGCGGGGUAAGAGAUUUUGGGUUUCAAGGCUGAACCGCCAUGUGAUGGGAUUGUACAUAGAUUGUGAUUUAGAUGACUACAAGAUCAUACUUACCACAUGUGCGCUUAUAAAAUGUAUGAAAGAGGGCAUUGGAAUGAAUGUAGCGAAGGAUUAUGUAAAAAUAAGUUCAUGGAUCCCAAGCAAUCUUUUUGUUUAAAAUGUUCUUACAAUACAAAUCCUGAGCUAUGUUGAUAUUCAUAAAGAGAAUGUUUCAGGUCCAUCCAAUGAAAAGGACUUGGAACUGUUGGUUGAUAACCAAAUGGAAUUGGAAAUGGAUGUGGUGAGACUCACAAUGUGUGUUUUUGUGGAUUGUGUUACGUCUGCAAUGAUCUUUGCUGGUACCAAGAGGAGGAGGAUCAACAUAAUCAUCUUGUCGAUUCACAUCAUUACCGAAGUUUAUGGACUGUAAAAUGUCAACAGUUUUGAAGUAGAAAGAAAAAGCCAGAACAAGUGGAAAGAAGUCCUCAAAUA